UACAGAGGGUGCAAGCGUUGUUCGGAAUUAUUGGGCGUAAAGGGCGCGUAGGCGGUUCGGCAAGUCUCUAGUGAAAUCUCUGGGCUCAACUCAGAGUCUGCUGGGGAAACUGCCGGGCUUGAGUGUGGGAGAGGAGAGUGGAAUUCCCGGUGUAGCGGUGAAAUGCGUAGAUAUCGAGAGGAACACCAGUGGCGAAGGCGAGUCCCUGGACAGAUCCUGACGCUGAGGCACGAAAGCUAGGGGAGCAAACAGG
rnacentral:rRNA from 1 species